UAGGGUGCAAGAAGAAAAUCAAAUUCGUCUA
rnacentral:piRNA from 1 species